AAACUUAUGGAAGCAUUACUUUCUAGGUUUAGAAGGCACUGAUAAGCUGAAAUUUGUUUAUAGAUGGUCAUGGUUGAUUGUCAUAUGUUAGAUCUUGACCUGCUUCUACAAUCUUAUAAAUGGAGGACUUAAAUCAAUAAGUUAAACUAAUUAAUGAUUUUAGCAGUUAUUGUUCUUUUUCUCUCUAAUACUGGAUUGAUAUUGCAGUUGAAUA
rnacentral:misc_RNA from 1 species